UCUGUUUGUUGUUAUUGUGUCACAAAGUGUGUUUGUUCUGCACUUUUGACUGGUAGAGUCUUGCAUUUGGGCCCACCUGCUGAAACCGUGGCAGGUCUCCUACAACCCUCACAGCUCACCUGGUUGAAAGCCUCUUGACCAUCUUCCUUUCUCCAGCUGGCAGCAAUAAAAGGCAAUCUGAAGAAGCUGUUGUUCCUUUCUGGAGAGACUACCUAACAGAUUCAGAAGAGCAAGAAGAAACACCGAUGCAAGGAACAAUUCUUGCCUUUGCCACUGAAGCCAGUAUUGUUCCACCAAUUGGCUUCUCUCCAGCCUUCAAUUGAAUUUCUUCACCAAGAGCAUGAUGCAGGAACUACCUCUAAACUACCCAUUGCAAAUACAUGCAUCGGUUGUCUGAAGUUACCACUGCACACUUCUUACAAAGACUUUCAGGAAAACAUGGACUUUGUAUAAUACCCAUGGUUUUGGCAUGGCUUAAUGCAUGUGUAGAGGAGAUAAUGAUUUCACUUAUCAAUAUUCAUUUUAUAAUUUAUUAUUCAUAAAAUUAUUUUUAUAAAGUUAACUGUCUGUUUUAUACUGCUUUGUAUCUUGUUUAAAUUCUGGAGAUUUCUUGUAGAAGUAAAAGCGGUUGCCAUGGUGACCUGGUGUGUAUCAGGGCGGCCUCUUCUGCGCACCUGCAGACUUGAGCGGUGAACCCCAAAAUUAUUUACAUGCAUGUGGUGUCCAUGGUAAGCUACCUUAACAUUAGCUCCGUUUAUAUAUGUUCGAUGCCAGAUAACACUGUACGCAUUAACUGCUAGAAAGUAGCAGGCGAUUAUUGACUUCCCUGUCCCACAGUCCAAGAAAGCGUUGUGCCGUUUCUUUCGAAUGUGUGGAUAUUAUCGUGGUUUUUGCCGAAACUUUUCUGAUUUGCUGGCUUCUCUCAUGGGUCUUGUAAGUCCCUUAAAACCAUUUGGUCAGGCUGCCUUCGAGUCUGCCAAGGCGUUAUGUAACGCACCUGUUCUCGCUGUGCCUUGCUUUACGCGACCCUUCAAAUUAGAGGUUGAUGCCAGCGCGUGCGGUGCUUUUGCAGGAGGACGAUCAAACUAUUGACCAUUCUGUUGGUUUGUUACUUCUCAAGAGUUUAAUAAGCAUCAGCUUAAUUAUAGCACUAUUUAGAAGGAAGCUCUUGCCCUUCUAUUCGCCUUGCAAUAUUUUGAAGAACAAGUAUUUACGGACCACAGCCCAUUAGUCUUCCUCGCACAUAUGCGCAAUUCUAACCAGCGGCUUAUGCCCUGGUCUCUCCUUCUGCAAGAUUUUAAUCUGCAGAUUCACCACAAAGGUUUCUGAGAAUGUGAUAGAUGCUUUGUCUAGAUGUUCCUCAGAUGUCUAGGAAUUAAACCUUUUUAGGGGUAGGUUUAAUUCUUGGGUGUGGGGGUGUUAUGACUGUGGUCGUAUUAUCUUUGGUCUGCUGUGUGUGCCCUGUGUUUUUCGUUCUCUUGUUCCAAUUUUGUAUGCAAAUAGGUGUGUGCCCUAGCCAGGAGUUUAUUGGUGGGAUACUCUCGUGCCCAGCUUCGUGAUUGGCUGCAGCUGGGGAUACCAUCAGUUAUAAGGAGCCAAGAUGGCGGCCAUCGGUGGGCAGCAGGCAUUUAUCCUCCUCAUCAUCUCCUAACCGGCCUCACUUUUUGCUUUGUACAACUCUGAUUUAGAUUAGGUCUUGUUUUUGGUUUAAGUAAGUGUGGACCACCAGGUGUGUUAAUCUUGUUUCCUGUUUUUGUUAGGGAGGGAAGUCUUUUGUCAUUGUUUUUGCACUUUUGUUUGAGGUUAGUUUCUUAUCUCCCAGUUAGGAUUGUUUUGUUUCUUUUGUGGUAGGCCACCCUGAAGCCUUAGACAUUUAUGUCAUAUUUUUGUUCUUUGUGAAAUAAAUGAGUAUCUAAACGA